rnacentral:rRNA from 1 species
GAUAAACGCUGGCGGCGUGCCUAAUACAUGCAAGUCGAGCGAACGGACGAGAAGCUUGCUUCUCUGAUGUUAGCGGCGGACGGGUGAGUAACACGUGGAUAACCUACCUAUAAGACUGGGAUAACUUCGGGAAACCGGAGCUAAUACCGGAUAAUAUUUUGAACCGCAUGGUUCAAAAGUGAAAGACGGUCUUGCUGUCACUUAUAGAUGGAUCCGCGCUGCAUUAGCUAGUUGGUAAGGUAACGGCUUACCAAGGCAACGAUGCAUAGCCGACCUGAGAGGGUGAUCGGCCACACUGGAACUGAGACACGGUCCAGACUCCUACGGGAGGCAGCAGUAGGGAAUCUUCCGCAAUGGGCGAAAGCCUGACGGAGCAACGCCGCGUGGGUGAUGAAGGUCUUCGGAUCGUAAAACUCUGUUAUUAGGGAAGAACAUAUGUGUAAGUAACUGUGCACAUCUUGACGGUACCUAAUCAGAAAGCCACGGCUAACUACGUGCCAGCAGCCGCGGUAAUACGUAGGUGGCAAGCGUUAUCCGGAAUUAUUGGGCGUAAAGCGCGCGUAGGCGGUUUUUUAAGUCUGAUGUGAAAGCCCACGGCUCAACCGUGGAGGGUCAUUGGAAACUGGAAAACUUGAGUGCAGAAGAGGAAAGUGGAAUUCCAUGUGUAGCGGUGAAAUGCGCAGAGAUAUGGAGGAACACCAGUGGCGAAGGCGACUUUCUGGUCUGUAACUGACGCUGAUGUGCGAAAGCGUGGGGAUCAAACAGGAUUAGAUACCCUGGUAGUCCACGCCGUAAACGAUGAGUGCUAAGUGUUAGGGGGUUUCCGCCCCUUAGUGCUGCAGCUAACGCAUUAAGCACUCCGCCUGGGGAGUACGACCGCAAGGUUGAAACUCAAAGGAAUUGACGGGGACCCGCACAAGCGGUGGAGCAUGUGGUUUAAUUCGAAGCAACGCGAAGAACCUUACCAAAUCUUGACAUCCUUUGACAACUCUAGAGAUAGAGCCUUCCCCUUCGGGGGACAAAGUGACAGGUGGUGCAUGGUUGUCGUCAGCUCGUGACGUGAGAUGUUGGGUUAAGUCCCGCAACGAGCGCAACCCUUAAGCUUAGUUGCCAUCAUUAAGUUGGGCACUCUAAGUUGACUGCCGGUGACAAACCGGAGGAAGGUGGGGAUGACGUCAAAUCAUCAUGCCCCUUAUGAUUUGGGCUACACACGUGCUACAAUGGACAAUACAAAGGGCAGCGAAACCGCGAGGUCAAGCAAAUCCCAUAAAGUUGUUCUCAGUUCGGAUUGUAGUCUGCAACUCGACUACAUGAAGCUGGAAUCGCUAGUAAUCGUAGAUCAGCAUGCUACGGUGAAUACGUUCCCGGGUCU